rnacentral:rRNA from 1 species
UACGAAGGGGGCUAGCGUUGUUCGGAAUUACUGGGCGUAAAGCGCACGUAGGCGGAUAUUUAAGUCAGGGGUGAAAUCCCGCAGCUCAACUGCGGAACUGCCUUUGAUACUGGGUAUCUUGAGUAUGGAAGAGGUUAGUGGAAUUGCGAGUGUAGAGGUGAAAUUCGUAGAUAUCGGGAGGAACACCGGUGGCGAAGGCGGCGACCUGGGUAGAUACUGACGCUGAGGCGCGAAAGCGUGGGGAGCAAACAGG